rnacentral:misc_RNA from 1 species
CGCACAUUGCGCCCUUUGGUAUUCCGAGGGGCAUGCCUGUCCGAGCGUCAUUUUCAACCAUCAAGCACGGCUUGUCGUUGGGUCCUGCCGGUUAAAGGCAGGCCUCAAAGUCGACGGCGGUACCGGUUGGACCUCCGGUGUAGCGAGCUUUCUGAGCAGCAUCGAGGAGGCCGACGGGCCCGGUUUUACCCAUCUCAGGUUGACCUCGGAUCAGGCAAGGAUACCCGCUGAACUUAA